CAGGGACCCAGGAACAGAGACAGGAGAGCUGAUGGAAGCUUUUUUCCCGGUUUUCAAACAGCAAUUAGAGGAAAACCCACUUCGGAUCUCUUCAAUAUCAAAGUUAAAUUCACUCAAAGGUGAGGAUUCAUUCCAUCUGCAAUCGGUGGACUUGGAGCUGGAGGCCGUGGAGAAGCAGGUCCGCAACCUACACGAACGACAUCAGGCUGAGACAGACGAAGAUCCUGAAGAAGGACUUUAGGAGCCUGGUGGAGAAGGUUCAUGCCACAUCAUUCAUGAUGAGGAUCAUCAUGUCAGGACCACUUCCCACAUUCCAGUGAGGAAUCGAGAGGUUCAGUAGGCUAUUUGAUUUUAAUGAAUGGUUACACUCAUGGUGUCAAGACCAGAAAUUACCCUUUGUCAAUAAUUGGAAUAUUUUCUGGGAGCGUCCUAGGCUCUACCGUUCUGAUGGCCAGAGUUGGAGCAGCAGUCCUCUUGGACAACAUCUCCAGGACACUACGCACCAUCUGACUGGUAAGUCAUACCUUAGAUUCCAAUUAUAAUAGCUACUGUUCAACUUGCCAGACUGAUACAAGUUCACACAACUCGUCAUAUAGAAACUGUCUUUUCCCCGAUUACUGAGAUCAAAGGAUAAAUUCAUUAAUAGCUCUCGAAAUAAUCUAAUCACAGUUAAACCUGACAAAGGCCAAAUAAGUAAAGAAAAACAAUUUCUUAAGUUUGGGCUUCUCAAAAUUAGAUCCCUUGCACCGACAGCGAUUAUUGUUAAUGAAAUAAUCUCAGAUUAUAAUUUCGAUGCACUCUGUCUUACCGAAAUCUGGCUUAGACCAAAU